CGUCUUUGAGUUCUUAGCAGGAAGCUGGAAUCAGAAGCAGAGCCAGGACUCAAGAACAGUCACUACAGUGCAGGAUGCAGGCACCACUCCCCUCCUCAUGAGCUCCUGUUUUUAAUGUAAAAUGGGUAUUAAUGUAUAGUAGAAGAACUAACAUUAGACGUAGGUUCAGGGUUCACUGUAGCAUUUAGUACUGGUGAUACUGUGCAAAGACACACUAUAACAUAAGGAUAUCUCAUGGUAUUGUGUCUGGGUUUAGAAGGAUAAUGUGUGUACUUAAGCAUAAGGCCUGGCACACAGAAAACGUUCAGAUUGUUUAUUACAGUGAUGAUGCAAAUAGUUUUCUGAUCUUGAAUGUUCAAAAUAACUGCAGCAUAAGUUUGGUUACAGUGUUAGGGGUUACAUUCCCGUCAGUGGCGGAUAGCUGGGCCAGCUGCUCUGCAGUGAAUUCACAAGGCUUCUGCAAAACUCAUGGAUGAAAUGGAAAAUACUGUUUGUGAUUCAUUUAUUUGGUCUGAUUUCUAAUGAUUGAAUGGUUUGGUUUAUUCUAGAAGUCAUUAUGACAAUUUAAGUUUUCGCAAGAAAAGUAGAAGGGUAAUUAUCAAUCAGUUGUAGAGCAGCUGUUAAGAUUUCCCUUCAGCUAUUUUUGAUACAGACUUUAAUAACACCUACUCCCUCGUCCUUCCUGCUACUCACCCCCUUAUCAAAUGAUUGGUGAGUCAUUUUUCAUCUUUCUUCUCUGUCCCUUCCCCUUCGUUAUUUUGAAGCAAAUCUCAUUACAAUCUUGUAUGUUUUUCACAAAGCAGAUGAUAUAAACUUGGAUUA